CCUACGGGAGGCAGCAGUCGAGAAUUAUUCACAAUGGGGGAAACCCUGAUGGUGCGACGCCGCGUGGGGGAAUGAAGGUCUUCGGAUUGUAAAACCCUGUCAUGUGGGAGCAAAUUAAAAAGAUAGUACCACAAGAGGAAGAGACGGCUAACUCUGUGCCAGCAGCCGCGGUAAUACAGAGGUCUCAAGCGUUGUUCGGAAUCACUGGGCGUAAAGCGUGCGUAGGCUGUUUCGUAAGUCGUGUGUGAAAGGCGAGGGCUCAACCCGCGGAUGGCACAUGAUACUGGGAGACUAGAGUAAUGGAGGGGGAACCGGAAUGCUCGGUGUAGCAGUGAAAUGCGUAGAUAUCGAGAGGAACACUCGGGGCGAAGGCGGGUUCCUGGACAUUAACUGACGCUGAGGCACGAAGGCCAGGGGAGCGAAAGGGAUUAGAUACCCUUGUAGUC
rnacentral:rRNA from 1 species